UACGAAGGGGGCUAGCGUUGCUCGGAAUCACUGGGCGUAAAGCGCACGUAGGCGGCUUUCUAAGUCAGGGGUGAAAUCCCGGAGCUCAACUCCGGAACUGCCUUGAUACUGGGUAUCUUGAGUAUGGAAGAGGUAAGUGGAAUUGCGAGUGUAGAGGUGAAAUUCGUAGAUAUUCGCAGGAACACCAGUGGCGAAGGCGGCUUACUGGUCCAUUACUGGACGCUGAGGUGGCGAAAGCGUGGGGAGCAAACAGGG
rnacentral:rRNA from 1 species